rnacentral:rRNA from 1 species
UACGGAGGGUGCAAGCGUUGCUCGGAAUUAUUGGGCGUAAAGGGUAGGUAGGUGGUCUCAUUUGUCUGAGGUGAAAGCCUUGAGCUUAACUCAAGAAGUGCCUUAGAAACGGUGAGACUAGAGUCUUGGAGAGGGUCGUGGAAUUCCCGGUGUAGCGGUGAAAUGCGUAGAGAUCGGGAGGAACACCAGAGGCGAAGGCGGGUCUCUGGACAGUUCCUGACACUGAGGCACGAAGGCCAGGGGAGCAAACGGG